UACGAAGGGGGCUAGCGUUGUUCGGAUUUACUGGGCGUAAAGCGCACGUAGGCGGAUCGUUAAGUCAGGGGUGAAAUCCUGGAGCUCAACUCCAGAACUGCCUUUGAUACUGGCGAUCUUGAGUCCGGAAGAGGUGAGUGGAACUCCUAGUGUAGAGGUGGAAUUCGUAGAUAUUAGGGAGAACACCAGUGGCGAAGGCGGCUCACUGGUCCGGUACUGACGCUGAGACGCGAAAGCGUGGGGAGCAAACAGG
rnacentral:rRNA from 1 species